rnacentral:rRNA from 1 species
AUUGAACGCUGGCGGCAGGCCUAACACAUGCCAGUCGAGCGGAUGAAGGGAGCUUGCUCCUGGAUUCAGCGGCGGACGGGUGAGUAAUGCCUAGGAAUCUGCCUGGUAGUGGGGGAUAACGUCCGGAAACGGGCGCUAAUACCGCAUACGUCCUGAGGGAGAAAGUGGGGGAUCUUCGGACCUCACGCUAUCAGAUGAGCCUAGGUCGGAUUAGCUAGUUGGUGGGGUAAAGGCCUACCAAGGCGACGAUCCGUAACUGGUCUGAGAGGAUGAUCAGUAACACUGGAACUGAGACACGGUCCAGACUCAUACGGGAGGCAGCAGUGGGGAAUAUUGGACAAUGGGCGAAAGCCUGAUCCAGCCAUGCCGCGUGUGUGAAGAAGGUCUUCGGAUUGUAAAGAACUUUAAGUUGGGAGGAAGGGCAGUAAGUUAAUACCUUGCUGUUUUGACGUUACCAACAGAAUAAGCACCGGCUAACUUCGUG